GGUGCUGUCACCAAACAUGUCUGUAUCCAGGCAGAGGAAGACGUUAGAGAAAGAAAAGAUGGGGUGCUGAAGAUGACAGCAGGGGGCUUCUUCAAAAUGUGUCUGUGCUGAGAGCCCGCAGAGAGGUGGGUCUUGAGCAGUGUCCCUUGAGGUUCUUAGCUCUACUUUAGAGCACAGACAUUUGAUAGAAGAACAUGGCAACCCCUUCUGAUCUGGGAUCUGAAAGUACAGGUAAUCACAGGGACCAUUUACCAACUGCUUUAUUCAAAUCAGCCCUCAGUAAUACCAAACGACUCAGGAGCUGGCUCGAUGAGAUUGCAUCUUGAUUUGAGCAGCUGUGUGUUAACAUGGCUCGAAAGGAAGGGUGCUGGUAAGUCAGACCGGAAUGUGCCAUCCUGCAAAUGACAGUGCUACCUGCAUCCAAAUGCGACUGCUGCAUCCAAGAGGGAUCAUCCUCACCUUGUACAGUUCAAGAGGACAGAAAGAACCCCAGGAGACAAACUGGAUAGAGCUGAACUGUAACUUAGAAGGAUUUUCUAACAAUUUCACAAAAACUCUUAACCCACAA
rnacentral:lncRNA from 1 species